rnacentral:tRNA from 1 species
GGGGACGUAGCUCAGCUGGUUAGAGCACCUGCUUUGCAAGCAGGGGGUCGUGGGUUCGAAUCCCAUCGUCUCCA